rnacentral:rRNA from 1 species
AUUGAACGCUGGCGGCAGGCUUAACACAUGCAAGUCGAGCGGGGUGAUGGUGCUUGCACUAUCACUUAGCGGCGGACGGGUGAGUAAUGCUUAGGAAUCUGCCUAUUAGUGGGGGACAACAUCUCGAAAGGGAUGCUAAUACCGCAUACGUCCUACGGGAGAAAGCAGAGGAUCACUUGUGACCUUGCGCUAAUAGAGGAGCCUAAGUCGGAUUAGCUAGUUGGUGGGGUAAAGGCCUACCAAGGCGACGAUCUGUAGCGGGUCUGAGAGGAUGAUCCGCCACACUGGGACUGAGACACGGCCCAGACUCCUACGGGAGGCAGCAGUGGGGAAUAUUGGACAAUGGGGGGAACCCUGAUCCAGCCAUGCCGCGUGUGUGAAGAAGGCCUUAUGGUUGUAAAGCACUUUAAGCGAGGAGGAGGCUCUUUUGGUUAAUACCCAAGAUGAGUGGACGUUACUCGCAGAAUAAGCACCGGCUAACUCUGUGCCAGCAGCCGCGGUAA